UGUCUGUCUGUCUGUCACUUGCGCGGUUCCUCACUAAGUAGUUGUUGGGUGGAUGGAGGAGUAAAUAUGAGGAAAAACCUCCAAAUCAGAUAGUUGCUGUGGAAACAGAAAGUACUGUGGUAAGGUGCCAAGACCGGGGACCGGGGUGUCUCUCUCUCUCUCUCUCUCUCUCUCUCUCUCUCUCUCUCUCUCUCUCUCCCUCUCUCUCUCUGGCUCUGUCUGUCGAGGGACAAGUUUCAUGAUCUUGGCAUGUUACAAACAAAUGUAAGUAGGUCAGAAGUCAAAACAAUGAAAUAGUGGGCCAUGUCAACCUGGCCCACAUUAGGCUAUGGGCUUGUCCCCGGUCUUGGCACCUUACCACAAGUGCUUUCGGUUUCCACAGCAACUAUCUUAUUUGGAGGUUUUUCCUCAUAUUUACUCCUCCAUCCACCCAACAACUACUUAAUGAGGAAGCUGGCAAAUGCCAGGCAUUGUCCUGAACGUUGAGGAUGUAACAUUUGAAUAAGAAUGUUUCUUGUUUCUAAGAGUCUGUAGCCCAGAGAAACAAUGUUGAAAUUGAUGACAUGGUAACACUUUAGCACAGCAGAGAGUGGAACGCAAGCACAGAUGUCCAGAGUGUGCUUCUGGGGCGCUGGGGAGACCUUGAAAGCCCCUUGAGAAGCCACUCUGGCUAUCAGUGGCCUUCGCGUAUGAAAGACCAUGGCAAACUAAGUGGAGGCCGAGAGAGGCUUUCAUGAUCCAUCGCAAUGAGCAUGUUGGAAUCUUGGUUUGUACCAAAACAAAACUAGUUGUUUUAAUUAGUUCUUCUUGCUUGGAAGUUAAGAUGGUCCUCCUCGAUGUUGAGUAAACCUGUUGAUGUGUGAAGCCUGGGGAUUACAGAUGGAAAGUGUUACGGAAGAAAUGGGAAAUAGCAUGAGCCCUCUGUGAGCUUCCUGAAGUGUGGCCACAAGUUCAUACCAUUUCUGGGAAGUUCAAAGCACUUCUCACAGUCCUUCCACGGUUACCAUGGAAACUCCCCAAUAGGAUGCAUAGCCAGAGGCAUCAUACAAACGAGAACCUACUAUGGACACUACAUGGAACCUACUAUAGACACUGUACCAUGCGACCUGCAGUUAUUUGUGUGGUUUCGGCAUGACUGCUGUUCCCACUAUUCACGUCCCUUGCCAGACUAACAAUCCAUGGGAACAGACCAGAGUUCUUUGUUAACAUAUGUCCCCCAGACCUAACACAGCAGAGAUGCUCAAUAACAAGAUUGUCACUGAACUU